UUCCGAAUACUGCGUCCUUCGGGACAUUUGGUCAAUUUGAAACGAUACAGAGAAGAUUAGCAUGGCCCCUGCAUAAGGAUGACACGCUUUACAAAGAGAUUUACAAGUUUU
rnacentral:snRNA from 1 species